UUGUGGAAGCAGGAGACAACUGUAAGGAGAAGAAACCUCAUUGGCUCUUUAAUUUGCUCUUGCAGGGAAAAUAUAGAGAACGCAGGAAAACACCCAGAUUGAGAUUUGGCUGCCCAAGCUGCAAAUACUUAGGAAACCAAACAACUGGCCUGACCUCAAGCACAACCCAAAUUCUCGAACCUCAUAUAAAGUGUGAACCUAAGAUACUUAAGAGAAGCCACUAAUUUCUGGUUCAGAGUGAAAAUAAGGGCACCUACAAAACAGGGAGAGUGAGGUGUUCCUUCUUCUGACGCUUAUUUCACUUAGGAGUUGGGAUCUUUUCUGUUGUGUCUCAGAACUUCAGGGUUAAGACCCUUCCUGGGUGAUGGAUAAAGGAAGUCAUUGUCCAGAUGAAAGACUCAUGAACUUGGAGACAGGAAUGAAGCCAUUGAAGCAACUUGGACGUCGGGAAUUCACUGAAGACCAGACUAAAGAGGGGCUUGUUCUAAUAGAAAUUCAUCUAAAAAGUUGGAGAUUCUGUAGAAGAUCUGAUGAAGAGGGCCAAUCACUGAGGAAAAAUGGAUAGCAUCCUAAAACAGUGGGUAGUAAGGGAACCGGUAUGUCUGAUCUUUUAAAG
rnacentral:lncRNA from 10 species